rnacentral:tRNA from 1 species
GGCGCUAUAGCCAAGUGGUUACGGCGACAGAUUAGAAUCCUCUUGUUGAAGGACUAUUUGAUCUGUUCCUCUUUGAGGGCGCAGGUUCGAAUCCUGCUGGCGUCG